AUUGAACGCUGGCGGCAUGCUUUACACAUGCGAGUCGAACGGUAACAGGCCUUCGGGUGCUGACGAGUGGCGAACGGGUGAGUAAUGCAUCGGAACGUGCCCAGAGGUGGGGGAUAACGCAGCGAAAGCUGUGCUAAUACCGCAGGUGAUCUGAGGAUGAAAGCAGGGGACCAGGCAGCAAGGUUUGGCCUCGCGCCUUUGGAGCGGCCGAUGUCAGAUUAGGUAGUUGGUGGGGUAAAGGCCUACCAAGCCGACGAUCUGUAGCUGGUCUGAGAGGACGACCAGCCACACUGGGACUGAGACACGGCCGCGACUCCUACGGGAGGAAGCAGUGGGGAAUUCUGGACGAUGGGCGCAAGCCUGAUCCAGCAAUGCCGCGUGAGGGAAGAAGGCCUUCGGGUUGUAAACCGCUUUUGUACGGAACGAAAAGGCUCUGGCUAAUACCUGGGGCUGAUGACGGUACCGUAAGAAUAAGCACCGGCUAACUACGUG
rnacentral:rRNA from 1 species